UACGGGGGGGGGCAAGCGUUGUUCGGAAUUACUGGGCGUAAAGGGCUCGUAGGUGGCCAACUAAGUCAGACGUGAAAUCCCCAGGCUCAACUUGGGAACUGCGUCUGAUACUGGAUGGCUUGAAUUCGGGAGAGGGAUGCGGAAUUCCAGGUGUAGCGGUGAAAUGCGCAGAUAUCAGGAGGAACACCGAGGCGAAGGCAGGUCUCUGGGCAUUAACUGACGCUGAGGAGCGAAAGCAUGGGGAGCGAACAGG
rnacentral:rRNA from 1 species